rnacentral:rRNA from 1 species
AUUGAACGCUGGCGGCAGGCCUAACACAUGCAAGUCGAGCGGAUGAAGGGAGCUUGCUCCUGUCUUCAGCUGCGGACGGGCGAGUAAUGCCUAGGAAUCUGCCUGGCCGUUGGGGAUAACGUCCGUAAACGGGCGCUAAUACCGCAUACGUCCUGAUGGAGAACGUGGGGGAUCUUCGGACCUCACGCUAUCAGAUGAGCCUAGGUCGGAUUAGCUAGUUGGUGGGGUAAAGGCCUACCAAGGCGACGAUCCGUAACUGGUCUGAGAGGAUGAUCAGCCACACUGGAACUGAGACACGGUCCAGACUCCUACGGGAGGCAGCAGUGGGGAAUCUUGGGCAAUGGGCGAAAGCCUGAUCGAGCAACGCCGCGUGUGUGAAGAAGGUCUUCGGAUCGUAAAGCACUUUUAGUUGGGAGGAAGGAAAGUAAGUGAAUCCAUGGCUGUUUUGACGGUACCAAAAGAAUAAGCCCCGGCUAACUUCGUG